GACGAACGCUGGCGGCGUGCUUAACACAUGCAAGUCGAACGGUAAGGCCCUUUGGGGUACACGAGUGGCGAACGGGUGAGUAACACGUGGGUGAUCUGCCCUGCACUUCGGGAUAAGCCUGGGAAACUGGGUCUAAUACCGGAUAGGACCACUGCCUGCAUGGGUGGUGGUGGAAAGCUUUUGCGGUGUGGGAUGGGCCCGCGGCCUAUCAGCUUGUUGGUGGGGUGAUGGCCUACCAAGGCGACGACGGAUAGCCGGCCUGAGAGGGUGACCGGCCACACUGGGACUGAGAUACGGCCCAGACUCCUACGGGAGGCAGCAGUGGGGAAUAUUGCACAAUGGGCGCAAGCCUGAUGCAGCGACGCCGCGUGAGGGAUGACGGCCUUCGGGUUGUAAACCUCUUUCAGCACCGACGAAGCGCAAGUGACGGUAGGUGCGGAAGAAGGACCGGCCAACUACGUGCCAGCAGCCGCGGUAA
rnacentral:rRNA from 1 species